AAUCAACGCUGGCGGCGUGCCUAACACAUGCAAGUCGAACGAGAAAGGAGACUUCGGUCUCCGAGUAGAGUGGCGAACGGGUGAGUAACGCGUGGGUAACCUGCCCUAAGGUGGGGGAUAACUCGGGGAAACCCGGGCUAAUACCGCAUAAGCCCUGUGCUUUCGGGUACAGGGGAAAGCUUUCGAGUACCUUUGGAGGGGCCCGCGUCCGAUUAGCUAGUAGGGGAGGUAAAGGCUUCCCUAGGCGACGAUCGGUAGCCGGUCUGAGAGGACGGACGGCCACACUGGGACUGAGACACGGCCCAGACUCCUACGGGAGGCAGCAGUGGGGGAUUUUGCGCAAUGGGGGCAACCCUGACGCAGCAACGCCGCGUGGAGGAAGAAGGCUUUCGAGUCGUAAACUCCUGUCCCUGGGGA
rnacentral:rRNA from 1 species